rnacentral:rRNA from 1 species
ACUGGGGACGUCUAAAGGAACUGCCUACGCAAGUAGUGAGGAAGGCGGGGAGUGACGUCAAAUCAGCACGGCCCUUACGUCCAGGGCUACACACGUGCUACAAUGGCCGAUACAGAGGGCAGCUACCUGGUGACAGGAUGCAAAUCUCCAAAGUCGGUCUCAGUUCGGAUCGGAGUCUGCAACCCGACUCCGUGAAGUUGGAUUCGCUAGUAAUCGCGCAUCAGCCAUGGCGCGGUGAAUACGUUCCCGGGCCUU